GGUGAGCAUGCCAUGGUAUUGAAGGCACCCGGUGUUGUGUUAUUUGGUGUCCCAUUGUCAAAAGCUGGCGCUUUUGUGUACAAACACUGGUCUCUCGUGAACUGCGCAUGCUCAGACCAUUAAGUGUAGACCUGUACAGUCUCACAAUGUUUUUUUAACACAUUAAGAGUUGCUGGAAAAGGCGGAAAAUGUGUGAUAUAUACAAGAUAAGAGGCGGCCAUCAGCUUAACGUGUGAACUUUUAUCAUCGAUACUCAGUAAGCCCUUUGACCUCUACCGAGUGAAGAAUUAAGGGGGAUCGACCUGAUAUAUGAGGUCAGAUGAGGCGUGAAUGUCGUAAACAAUGAAUUAGGUUUAGGGGUGAGCUCACAAAGGCGACCGUGUGACCUUAUUUAAAUGGCCGCCGUGGUCGUUCAGAAGCUCAUCGUUUUUUACUGAUUUCCGGUAAAGUAGAGUACGUGGCGGCACGGGGCUUGAGGGGCAGGGCGACACGUGCAUUGUAUUCCUGUGUGUGAAGUUGGAGAGCGGGAUAUAAGCCGAACACAGGCUGGGGAAGGAGACGGUGGCUGAGUGGUUAGCGUGCCGGUCCUGCGUUCGCCGCAUCAUGGAUGAGGAGGGUUUGAAUCCACUGCUGCCACAGGCUACUUGUCCUGAAGACCACCACCAUCAUCCUGGACUGUAUGGGACUGUCCAAGGGAAAGCAAGAUGGGGCCGCUAUAAACACUUGCCGGCUUGGGCCCACCACCAGGCCCAGCCAAGGGAGGUUGGUGUAGCAGUGCCGGGAGGUGCCAUAACACAGGGCACUCCUCACCUCAACAACAGUCUCUUCACCGACAAGUAAUUCUUCACCAACAAGCUUUUCAGCAGCCUGGAGAAAUAGACACUACCAAACGAAGAAGAGGAGGAGGAGGAGGACUGGGAAGAAGACGAGGAACACAGGAGGAACCCAUUGAGAGAACAAGAAGAAGAAGAAGAAGAAGAAGAAGAGGAGGACACAGGAAUUCCUUGGUUGGUGUAGCAGUGCCGGGAGGUGCCAUAACACAGGGCACUCCUCACCUCAACAACAGUCUCUUCACCGACAAGUAAUUCUUCGCCAACAAGCUUUUCAGCAGCUUGGAGAAAUAGACACUACCAAACAAAGAAGAGGAGGAGGAGGAGGAAGAAGAAGACGAGGAACACAGGAGGAACCCAUUGAGACAAGAAGAAGAAGAAGAGGAAGAAGAGGAAGAGGAAGACUGACAGACAGACAUUCCAUUGAGACAAGAAGAAGAAGAAGAGGAAGAAGAGGAAGAGGAAGACUGACAGACAGACAUUCCAUUGAGUGUGCGGUGUCCCGCAGGCAGGCAGACCGAGACGCCAGCCAUUCAAUUCUGCCGAGGGAAGGAAGUCGUGUUAGUCAACUCUGAUGACUUGUACUUUUCUCUGCAAGGGACUGUUCUGUAAGCCAGUCACAGAAGAUGUGAACUGUAUCUGUACUAUGAAGUCUUAUAAAUAAAGUUAAAGGCUACA